GGUCACAUAACUCAGUGGUAGAGUGCUACCUUGACAUGGUAGUGGUCGCUGGUUCGAGUCCAGCUGUGACCACCA
rnacentral:tRNA from 1 species